rnacentral:rRNA from 1 species
CAGCAGCCGCUGUAAUACCGGCGGCCCGAGUGGCGGUCACUAUUAUUGGGCUUAAAGCGUCCGUAGCCGGGUUGGGAAAUCCUCCGGGAAAUCUGGCCGCUUAACGGUCAGAAUGCCGGAGGAUACUCCCAGCCUAGGGAGCGGGAGAGGCCGAGGGUAUUCCCGGAGGAGGGGUGAAAUCCUAUAAUCCCGGGGGGACCACCUGUGGCGAAGGCGCUCGGCUGGAACGCGUCCGACGGUGAGGGACGAAGGCCAGGGGAGCAAACCGGAUUAGAUACCCGGGUAGUCCUGGCUGUAAACGAUGCGGACUUUGUGUCGGACAAGCUAUGAGCUUGUCCGGUGCCGGAGGGAAACCGUUAAGUCCGCCGCCUGGGGAGUACGGCCGCAAGGCUGAAACUUAAAGGAAUUGGCGGG